UACGGGGGGGGCAAGCGUUGUUCGGAAUUACUGGGCGUAAAGGGCUCGUAGGUGGCCAACUAAGUCAGACGUGAAAUCCCUCGGCUUAACCGGGGAACUGCGUCUGAUACUGGAUGGCUUGAGUUCGGGAGAGGGAUGCGGAAUUCCAGGUGUAGCGGUGAAAUGCGUAGAUAUCUGGAGGAACACCGGUGGCGAAGGCGGCGAUCUGGUCCUUGACUGACGCUGAGGCGCGAAAGCGUGGGGAGCAAACAGG
rnacentral:rRNA from 1 species